rnacentral:rRNA from 1 species
AGGAUGAACGCUGGCGGCGUGCUUAAUACAUGCAAGUCGAACGAAGCACCUUGGACAGAAUCCUUCGGGAGGAAGACCAUUGUGACUGAGUGGCGGACGGGUGAGUAACGCGUGGGUAACCUGCCUUGUACAGGGGGAUAACAGUUGGAAACGACUGCUAAUACCGCAUAAGCGCACAGUACCGCAUGGUACGGUGUGAAAAACUCCGGUGGUACAAGAUGGACCCGCGUCUGAUUAGCUGGUUGGUGAGGUAACGGCCCACCAAGGCGACGAUCAGUAGCCGACUUGAGAGAGUGAUCGGCCACAUUGGGACUGAGACACGGCCCAAACUCCUACGGGAGGCAGCAGUAGGGAAUAUUGCACAAUGGGGGAAACCCUGAUGCAGCGACGCCGCGUGAAGGAAGAAGUAUUUCGGUAUGUAAACUUCUAUCAGCAAGGAAGAAAAUGACGGUACUUGACUAAGAAGCCCCGGCUAAAUACGUGCCAGCAGCCGCGGUAAUACGUAUGGGGCAAGCGUUAUCCG